rnacentral:rRNA from 1 species
AUGAGUUCGAAGAAAGUUCCGUUCAACCGUCAUAAGGAGAAUGAGGAGGCGAGGAAGAAGAGGGAGGAAGAUGAAGCGGCACGCGUCUAUGCGGAGUUUGUUGAGUCAUUCAAGGGUGAAAGCACAUCUGGAUCAAAGUUUGUCCGUGGGGGCGUGAUUGAUCCCAAUGCCAAGCUGAGAGCUGAUUCUGAAGGUGGAAAGUCCAAAGAUGGGUGGUCUGUUCCAAAGAAGGGCAGUAGGUAUGUUCCAUCUUUUUUGCCGCCAUCGUUUGGGAAAGAGCCGGACAAAAAGAAGGAAGAUGAGCGGCCGAAGGAAAAGGAAAAAGGAAAGCCACGGGCAAUAGAUAAGUUCAUGGAGGAACUCAAGUUUGAGCAAGAGCUUCGGGAAAGGCGUAAUCAAGAACGUGACGGUCGACACGGUAACACCUCCGCGUCCUCUAGCCAUUUUGAUGAACUACCAGAUGAAUUUGACCCCAGUGGGAGAAUACCAGGAUCAUUUGAUGAUGGGGAUCCACAAACCACAAACUUAUAUGUUGGCAAUCUCUCUCCUCAGGUGGAUGAGAAUUUUCUUUUGAGGACAUUUGGUCGGUUUGGACCUAUCGCUAGCGUCAAGAUUAUGUGGCCUCGAACAGAAGAAGAACGCAGAAGGCAAAGAAAUUGUGGGUUUGUUGCAUUCAUGAAUAGAGCAGAAGGACAGGCAGCCAAGGAUGAAAUGCAAGGUGUUAUUGUGUACGACUAUGAGCUGAAGAUUGGGUGGGGCAAAUCUGUUGCUCUUCCAUCACAAGCACUGCCUGCUCCUCCUCCAGGACAUAUGGCAAUCAGAAACAAGGAGGGUGGUACUGUAAUCAUAUCUGGUCCUGGAGGUCCACCUGUUGCAUCGGUUGCACAACAAACCUCAGAGCUGGUCCUUACUCCAAAUGUUCCUGAUAUAGUAGUUGCUCCACCAGAUGAUUCACAUCUUAGGCAUGUGAUUGACACAAUGGCUCUGCAUGUACUUGAUGGUGGAUGUGCUUUUGAACAAGCUAUAAUGGAAAGAGGACGAGGGAAUUCUUUAUUUAACUUCUUGUUUGAUCUUAAAUCGAAAGAGCACACAUACUAUGUCUGGAGGUUAUAUUCCUUUGCUCAGGGCGAUACUUUACAACGAUGGCGAACCGAACCAUUUAUCAUGAUUACUGGAAGUGCAAGAUGGGUUCCACCUGCUUUGCCAUCCAGCCGAAGUCCUAAUCAUGAAAAAGAAUCUACUUUUGCAGCUGGUAGAAGCAGGCAUGCGGAAGUGGAGCGUACACUGACUGAUUCACAGCGUGAUGAAUUUGAGGACAUGCUACGCGCAUUGACAUUAGAAAGGAGUCAGAUAAAGGAGGCCAUGGGAUUUGCGUUAGAUAAUGCUGAUGCUGCUGGAGAGAUUGUCGAGGUUCUUGCAGAAUCUUUGACACUUAAGGAGACAUCUAUUCCCACCAAGGUUGCAAGGCUUAUGCUAGUGUCCGACAUCCUUCAUAACAGUAGUGCUCCCGUGAAGAAUGCUUCUGCGUUUCGGACCAAGUUUGAGGCUGCUAUACCUGAUGUCAUGGAGAGCUUCAAUGACUUGUAUCGCAGUAUUACAGGAAGGAUUACUGCUGAAGCUCUGAAGGAGAGGGUUUUGAAAGUUCUACAAGUAUGGGCAGACUGGUUUCUGUUUUCUGAUGCAUAUCUGAAUGGGCUGAAAGCUACCUUUCUUAGGCCAGGCAACUCUGGGGUCACCCCUUUCCACUCUCUAUGUGGUGAUGCACCUGAAAUUGAAAAGAAAACUAGCUCUGAGGAUGGUAAUAAUGGAUUUAGGCUUGAUGAAGAUGGUGCCCUGGUCACAGGAAAGGCAGCAGCGACGAAGGAGCUGUUAGGGCUUCCGCUUGCUGAGCUUGAACGUCGUUGUAGACAUAAUGGCCUCUCACUAUGUGGUGGUAAAGAGAUGAUGGUUGCCAGGUUGCUCAGCCUGGAGGAGGCUGAGAAGGAGCGAGUAUAUCAGAAAGAUGUCGACAUGAAAUAUGGACAAGGAGAACCUCAUAGAACUGGGAGAGAGGAUAUUGGUUUGAAUGCGCAUAGUGCUUCGAGACCUGGAGAAGGUACUGUUGAUGAUGAAUCAGAUAUGCUGGGUCUCUCUCGUCACACAGGUCAAAAGUACUAUGGAAAAUCUGCAUCUGCUGAACCGAAACAAGUUCCAAGCAAGAAGCAGAGAGCUGAUCCCAUCUUACCAGCUUCUAAAUGGAAUCGAGAGGAUGAUGGCAGCGGCGAUGAAGAUAGAAAAGAUGGUCAAGGAUUGGGGUUGAGCUAUUCAUCUGGAAGUGAUAUUGCUGGUGAUCCUGGGAAAGCUGAUGCAACAGAAAUUAGUACUGAUCACACAAUUCAUCAUCCAGAUACAAUUGUUGAUGAAGAGCAUAGGCAGAAGCUGAGGCAGAUUGAGAUUGGUGUCAUGCAGUAUCGUGAAUCUCUUGAGGAGAAGGGUUUGUGGAACAUGGAGGAGCUUGAGAGGAAGGUUGCCAGCCACCGUAGGCGUCUUCAAUCUGAAUAUGGGUUGUCUUCUUCAGUAGAUGGGGCAAACAACAGGCGCUCUUCCGAGAGAAUACCAUCGGACCGGAAAGGAAGGUAUGAUGAUGCACGCGAUUCUUCCAAGAAGCGGCCUCACAGCCCAAGUAGGAGCCAUAGUCCUUCAAGGAAAUCAUCACUGGAUAGAGACCGAGAGCACAAUCGCAGCAGAGACAGAUUGCAUGGUAAUGAUGUCGGGAGAGACAGGGCACGCGAGAAAAGUUCAGGCCGAGAGAAGGAUGAUCACCAUGAUAGAAGCAGAGAAAGAGAAAAGGACAGGAGAAAGGGGAGGUGA